AUGGUCAUUGAUGAGCCUAAAGUUUCUCAUACGAGUUUAACGACCAUGAGAUCACUACAUGCACUACCAUCUGAGACCAA